rnacentral:rRNA from 1 species
ACCCGCACAAGCGGUGAUGAUGUGGUUUAAUUCGAUGCAACGCGAAAACCUUACCCACCUUUGACAUGUACGGAACCCUUUAGAGAUAGAGGGGUGCUCGAAAGAGAGCCGUAACACAGGUGCUGCAUGGCUGUCGUCAGCUCGUGUCGUGAGAUGUUGGGUUAAGUCCCGCAACGAGCGCAACCCUUGUCAUUAGUUGCUACAUUCAGUUGGGCACUCUAAUGAGACUGCCGGUGACAAGCCGGAGGAAGGUGGGGAUGACGUCAAGUCCUCAUGGCCCUUAUAGGUGGGGCUACACACGUCAUACAAUGGCUGGUACAAAGGGUUGCCAACCCGCGAGGGGGAGCCAAUCCCAUAAAGCCAGUCGUAGUCCGGAUCGUAGUCUGCAACUCGACUACGUGAAGUCGGAAUCGCUAGUAAUCGUGGAUCAGAAUGUCACGGUGAAUACGUUCCCGGGUCUU